UAGGGAAUCUUCCGCAAUGGACGAAAGUCUGACGGAGCAACGCCGCGUGAGUGAAGAAGGAUUUCGGUUCGUAAAACUCUGUUGUUAGGGAAGAAAAAAUGUAUAGUAACUAUAUACAAAAGAGACGGUACCUAACCAGAAAGCCACGGCUAACUACGUGCCAGCAGCCGCGGUAAUACGUAGGUGGCAAGCGUUGUCCGGAAUUAUUGGGCGUAAAGCGCGCGCAGGUGGUUUAGAAAGUCUGAUGUGAAAGCCCACGGCUCAACCGUGGAGGGUCAUUGGAAACUAAUAAACUUGAGUGCAGGGAAGAAAAGUGGAAUUCCUAGUGUAGCGGUGAAAUGCGUAGAGAUUAGGAGGAACACCGGUGGCGAAAGCGGCUUUUUGGCCUGCAACUGACACUGAGGCGCGAAAGCGUGGGGAGCAAACAGG
rnacentral:rRNA from 1 species